UACGUAGGGUCCGAGCGUUGUCCGGAAUUAUUGGGCGUAAAGGGCUCGUAGGCGGUUUGUCACGUCGGGCGUGAAAACUCAAGGGCUCAACCCUGAGCGUGCGUCCGAUACGGGCUGACUAGAGGUAUGCAGGGGAGAACGGAAUUCCUGGUGUAGCGGUGAAAUGCGCAGAUAUCAGGAGGAACACCAGUGGCGAAGGCGGCUCACUGGCCCGGUACUGACGCUGACGGUGCGAAAGCGUGGGGAGCAAACAGG
rnacentral:rRNA from 1 species